UACAGAGGUCCCAAGCGUUGUUCGGAAUCACUGGGCGUAAAGGGCGCGUAGGCGGCCAGAUAAGUGGGGUGUUAAAUCUCCCGGCUCAACCGGGAACCUGCACCUCAUACUGCCUGGCUUGAGUACAGCAGAGGAGACUGGAAUUCCCGGUGUAGCGGUGAAAUGCGUAGAUAUCGGGAGGAACAUCUGUGGCGAAGGCGACACCCUGGGCCAGCACUGACACUGAGGCACGAAAGCGUGGGGAGCAAACAGG
rnacentral:rRNA from 1 species